UACGAGUGGUGCAAGCGUUAUUCGGAAUCAUUGGGCGUAAAGGGUGUGUAGACGGUAUGUUAAGUCAGUUGUUUAAUUCUCCGGCCUAACCGGAGGCCAGCAGCAGAAACUGAUAUGCUAGAGGGUGGAAGAGAGGAGUGGAAUUCUCGGAGUAGCGGUAAAAUGCGUAGAUCUCGAGAGGAACACCAAUGGCGAAGGCAGCUUCUUGGUCCAUACCUGACGUUGAGACACGAAAGCGUGGGGAGCAAACAGG
rnacentral:rRNA from 1 species